ensembl:misc_RNA Metazoa_SRP Metazoan signal recognition particle RNA
GCCAGGCACGGUGGUACAUGCCUGUAGUCCCAGCUACUCAGGAGGUUGAGGUGGGAGGAUUGCUUGAGCCCAGGAGUUCUGGGCUGUAGUGUGCUAUGCCAAUUGGUGUCCACACUAAGUUCAGCAUCAAUAUGGUGACCUCCCAGGAGUGGGGGACCACCAGCUUGCCUAAGGAGGGGUAAACCAGCCCAGGUCAGAAACGGAGCAGGUCAAAACUCCCGUGCUGAUCAGUAGUGGGAUCACGCCUGUGAAUAGCCACUGUAUGCCAGCCUGGGCAACAUAUCAAGACCCUGUCUCAA